GUCGAACGGAAAUGACACGCUGAUGCGAUUUCGGUCAAAUCUUGUGGCAUUUCAGUGGCGGACGGGUGAGUAACGCGUGGGUAACCUGCCUUACACAGGGGGAUAACACCUGGAAACAGGUGCUAAUACCGCAUAAGCGCACAGGGCCGCAUGGCCCGGUGUGAAAAACUCCGGUGGUGUAAGAUGGACCCGCGUCUGAUUAGCUUGUUGGCGGGGUAGAGGCCCACCAAGGCGACGAUCAGUAGCCGGCCUGAGAGGGUGGACGGCCACAUUGGGACUGAGACACGGCCCAAACUCCUACGGGAGGCAGCAGUGGGGGAUAUUGGACAAUGGGGGAAACCCUGAUCCAGCGACGCCGCGUGAGUGAAGAAGUAUUUCGGUAUGUAAAGCUCUGUCAGCAGGGAAGAAAGAAAUGACGGUACCUGACCAAGAAGCCCCGGCUAACUACGUGCCAGCAGCCGCGGUAAUACGUAGGGGGCAAGCGUUAUCCGGAAUUACUGGGUGUAAAGGGAGCGUAGACGGUGAUGCAGGUCUGGAGUGAAAGGCGGGGGCCCAACCCCCGGACUGCUCUGGAAACUGUAUGACUUGAGUGCAGGAGAGGUAAGCGGAAUUCCUAGUGUAGCGGUGAAAUGCGUAGAUAUUAGGAGGAACACCAGUGGCGAAGGCGGCUUACUGGACUGUAACUGA
rnacentral:rRNA from 1 species